CGCGCGGCGGCCAGCACCGGCGGCGACUCCACCACCAGCACCAGCACCAGCACCAGGCGGGCGAACCAACCCAGCCCAUGGCGCCCCCGACCCGCGCGUCCGCGAAGCAGCCGAAGCCGGGGAGGGCCCUGGGGCGGAGGGGCAUGUCGCGCGCGGAGGCGGCGGCGGCGGCGGACGCGGCGGCGAGGCGCUCGGCGGCGGCGCGGGAGUGGCGCGUGUGGGGCGAGUGGGCGAUGGGCGCGGCCAAGGUGGUGGCGCACUACGGCUUCAUCCCGCUCGUCAUCGCCGUCGGCGUCAUCAAGUCCGACCCCAAGCCCUCCCUGUUCCAGCUCCUCGCCCCGUUCUGAUCGAUCCCCGCCACCGUCCGCGUGAUCGCGCUUCGCUAGGGUUCGUUCGAGAGAUGAAACAGUCAGCUGUGUCCGUGGUAGUUAGUUGUCUUCAUCAGAGAACUUGCUAGAAUUAUCUGUGCUGCACCUGCUAUUCUGCUCUGGAUCAAAUUGAACCUGAAUCGCUGUUACGUAGUACUAGUAUAAAUUAUAAAAUUUCGGUGAUGUGAUUGUUGAUCUCCGUGUGGAUUCUGGGUUGUGAUGUGGGGGUGUGGAUCUUGGUGGCUGCAUUGCUUGUGAAAAAGGCG
rnacentral:rRNA from 1 species